rnacentral:rRNA from 1 species
UGCAAGUCGAGCGGAUGACGGGAGCUUGCUCCUUGAUUCAGCGGCGGACGGGUGAGUAAUGCCUAGGAAUCUGCCUGGUAGUGGGGGACAACGUUUCGAAAGGAACGCUAAUACCGCAUACGUCCUACGGGAGAAAGCAGGGGACCUUCGGGCCUUGCGCUAUCAGAUGAGCCUAGGUCGGAUUAGCUAGUUGGUGAGGUAAUGGCUCACCAAGGCGACGAUCCGUAACUGGUCUGAGAGGAUGAUCAGUCACACUGGAACUGAGACACGGUCCAGACUCCUACGGGAGGCAGCAGUGGGGAAUAUUGGACAAUGGGCGAAAGCCUGAUCCAGCCAUGCCGCGUGUGUGAAGAAGGUCUUCGGAUUGUAAAGCACUUUAAGUUGGGAGGAAGGGCAGCAAGCUAAUACCUUGCUGUUUUGACGUUACCGACAGAAUAAGCACC